rnacentral:rRNA from 1 species
UGUCUGGGGACUUUCAGAGAUGGUUCUUUCCCUUCGGGGACCGAGAGACAGGUGCUGCAUGGCUGUCGUCAGCUCGUGUCGUGAGAUGUUCGGUUAAGUCCGGCAACGAGCGCAACCCACAUCCCUAGUUGCCAGCAGUUCGGCUGGGCACUCUAUGGAAACUGCCCGUGAUAAGCGGGAGGAAGGUGUGGAUGACGUCAAGUCCUCAUGGCCCUUACGGGUUGGGCUACACACGUGCUACAAUGGUGGUGACAGUGGGUUAAUCCCCAAAAGCCAUCUCAGUUCGGAUUGUCGUCUGCAACUCGACGGCAUGAAGUCGGAAUCGCUAGUAAUCGCGUAACAGCAUGACGCGGUGAAUACGUUCCCGGGUCUUGUACACACCGA